rnacentral:rRNA from 1 species
CCGCGGUAAUACGGAGGGUGCAAGCGUUAAUCGGAAUUACUGGGCGUAAAGCGCACGCAGGCGGUCUGUCAAGUCGGAUGUGAAAUCCCCGGGCUCAACCUGGGAACUGCAUUCGAAACUGGCAGGCUAGAGUCUUGUAGAGGGGGGUAGAAUUCCAGGUGUAGCGGUGAAAUGCGUAGAGAUCUGGAGGAAUACCGGUGGCGAAGGCGGCCCCCUGGACAAAGACUGACGCUCAGGUGCGAAAGCGUGGGGAGCAAACAGGAUUAGAUACCCUGGUAGUCCACGCCGUAAACGAUGUCGAUUUGGAGGUUGUGCCCUUGAGGCGUGGCUUCCGGAGCUAACGCGUUAAAUCGACCGCCUGGGGAGUACGGCCGCAAGGUUAAAACUCAAAUGAAUUGACGGGGGCCCGCACAAGCGGUGGAGCAUGUGGUUUAAUUCGAUGCAACGCGAAGAACCUUACCUGGUCUUGACAUCCACAGAACUUUCCAGAGAUGGAUUGGUGCCUUCGGGAACUGUGAGACAGGUGCUGCAUGGCUGUCGUCAGCUCGUGUUGUGAAAUGUUGGGUUAAGUCCCGCAACGAGCGCAACCCUUAUCCUUUGUUGCCAGCGGUCCGGCCGGGAACUCAAAGGAGACUGCCAGUGAUAAACUGGAGGAAGGUGGGGAUGACGUCAAGUCAUCAUGGCCCUUACGACCAGGGCUACACACGUGCUACAAUGGCAUAUACAAAGAGAAGCGACCUCGCGAGAGCAAGCGGACCUCAUAAAGUAUGUCGUAGUCCGGAUUGGAGUCUGCAACUCGACUCCAUGAAGUCGGAAUCGCUAGUAAUCGUAGAUCAGAAUGCUACGGUGAAUACGUUCCCGGGCCUUGUACACACCGCCCGUCACACCAUGGGAGUGGGUUGCAAAAGAAGUAGGUAGCUUAACCUUCGGGAGGGCGCUUACCACUUUGUGAUUCAUGACUGGGGUGAAGUCGUAACAAGGUAACCGUA